rnacentral:rRNA from 1 species
UACUAUAGCUUGACACUGAACACUGGUCCUUGAUGUGUAGGAUAGGUGGGAGGCUUUGAAGCGAGGACGCCAGUUCUUGUGGAGCCAACCUUGAAAUACCACCCUUUAAUGGCUGGUGUUCUAACGUGGACCCGUAAUCCGGGUUGCGGACAGUGUCUGGUGGGUAGUUUGACUGGGGCGGUCUCCUCCUAAAGCGUAACGGAGGAGCACGAAGGUUAGCUAAUCCUGGUCGGACAUCAGGAGGUUAGUGCAAUGGCAUAAGCUA